UACGGAGGGUGCAAGCGUUGCUCGGAAUCACUGGGCGUAAAGAGCGUGUAGGCGGUUUCGUAUGUCUGGCGUGAAAGCCCCGGGCUCACCCCGGGAAGUGCGCUGGAAACUGCGAGACUAGAGUCCCGGAGAGGAAGGUGGAAUUCCAGGUGUAGCGGUGAAAUGCGUAGAUAUUUGGAAGAACACCGGUGGCGAAGGCGGCCUUCUGGACGGUGACUGACGCUGAGACGCGAAAGCGUGGGGAGCAAACAGG
rnacentral:rRNA from 1 species